rnacentral:rRNA from 1 species
UUUGAAAUCUGGUCUUCGGGCCCGAGUUGUAAUUUGUAGAGGAUGCUUUUGGUGCCUUCCGAGUUCCCUGGAACGGGACGCCAUAGAGGGUGAGAGCCCCGUCUGGUUGGACACCGAUCCUCUGUAAAGCUCCUUCGACGAGUCGAGUAGUUUGGGAAUGCUGCUCUAAAUGGGAGGUAUAUGUCUUCUAAAGCUAAAUACCGGCCAGAGACCGAUAGCGCACAAGUAGAGUGAUCGAAAGAUGAAAAGAACUUUGAAAAGAGAGUUAAAAAGUACGUGAAAUUGUUGAAAGGGAAGCGCUUGUGACCAGACUUGGGCUUGGUUGAUCAUCCGGGGUUCUCCCCGGUGCACUCUUCCGGCUCAGGCCAGCAUCAGUUCGCCCUGGGGGAUAAAGGCUUCGGGAAUGUGGCUCUCUCCGGGGAGUGUUAU